rnacentral:rRNA from 1 species
CUGCUGCCUCCCGUAGGAGUCUGGUCCGUGUCUCAGUACCAGUGUGGGGGGCCUUCCUCUCAGAACCCCUACGCAUCGUCGCCUCGGUGGGCCGUUACCCCGCCGACUAGCUAAUGCGCCGCAUGCCCAUCCGUAGCCGGAAUCGCUUCCUUUAAACCCGAGGAGAUGCCUCCUCGGGUUGUUACGCGGUAUUAGACGGAAUUUCUUCCGCUUAUCCCCCUGCUACGGGCAGGUUUCAUACGUGUUACUCACCCGUGCGCCGGUCGCCGGCGGGAGUUA